GCUGCAGCAAACAGAAAGGGGCGGGGGCGGACCUUUCCGUCAGUCCCAUACCUUAUUUGGAAAUGGGACUAUUGCAUUCCGGAAAUGAAGGGGGCGCUAUUUUCAUUAUCACUAGUAUAAAUACCUUAAGACGCGGAGUUAAGAGGAAAGGAAGAAGAAAGAAAGAAGUUUGAGAGGUUCUUCCGUUGAUGUUCGGCACACGAUCAACAAUGCAAAACUCACAAAGUCAACAAAAGGUAUUUUUACCUUCUUAAAAUUUUUUCACAUAGUAAAUCAAUACGCUUUUCUAGAUUAGGUUGAAAAUAUAAUUAACAGCUGUAAACUAGUGAAAUUCGUAAUUCAUACAGGGGAAGGCUAAUUUUAGCAUGUAGCAUAGCUAAUUAUUAUCCCGCAGGGCACCAUUAGAUAAAAAUAGAAAAGUAGAUAACAUGUAUAAUUGAGAAAUGUAUUUUAUGCUCAAACUUUGUUUUUUAUUUUCAUUAUACAGAUCCACGUAUCUAUUUGCAACAUUCGGAACGGAGAGAAGAUUCUUCCGUAUUGCAUGAACGAUAAAUAUUGCUGUUCCCUUUGCUAAUACAAGCUACAGAACCACAUAGCACAAACUGCUAUGGUUCAACAUAACAAUGCCUUUAAAUGUUCUUGAAGCUGUUCUCCAGGAGGUGAUACCAGCACAGGGAGACUCAGCUUACCUCACCUUGGCAUUGACCUGCAAGACCUUUCAAGCCGUUGUGUCUGACCCAGUUUUCAGGAAGAAGACUCACUUUGCUUGGCUGGAUGGUAAGGACCUUUGACUUUUUUCACCUAAAACAUGUGAAAUUAGAUUUCAACUACAUGAAAUCGAUUUUUCAUUAACAGGUGAGAUCAACUGGGGUAAAUUUUCAAAAACAUUCAAGGCAGAAAACCGGAUUCCUUUUGCGGUUGUAACGUGUUUUUCCUGCAACCGGUAAUAUAAAGACUGUGGGCUUCACCGGCAAUGGAAGACGAGGAGAGUACCCUGGUUACUACUGUGAUGGCCGACCUGGACACUGCACUGACUAUCAAUACUGAAUGCAAGGAGAAUAUUAGUUGCUUUCCACAGUCUUUCACACAUUUAAGUUGUCACACAUUGUUCGUUUUUUUUUGUGACAUGCCAUUUUAAAUCAUUUCUGCUAAAGAAUAUUUGCCUUUCAUCCUUUUUAAUAAUGUGUUCUUUCAAUAUUAUUUACAUUUCUGAAUGUUACUUUUGUUGUAGCUCAGUUGAUUUACAUUAUUUAGAUUUCACAGAAAUGGUGCCGUUUCCACACAAAGUUACAUUGUGGCUGUAAUUUGUUGGAGAGAGUAGAACCAAUAAAGUAGUUGUAAACAUAUUGUAACAGCGUUGUUUAACAAUAGGAUAACCUUGUUUUAAAAAUUUUAAAUGCAAGCAAAGCUAAUAACUUGCAAUAUACUGUGUUUCCUAUACAUUUUGAACAAUGACUGGAAUCAAUACAAAUUUUCUUUACAAACCUGACAUACAGCCAAGUUGUUUAUGUUUUAACAGUCAGAAUCAACUUGGGGUUUUUUGUAAUAAAGCAAGCACAUACAGAAA